UUAAAGGAAUUGACGGAAGGGCA
rnacentral:ncRNA from 5 species